rnacentral:lncRNA from 1 species
CAUCUGAUAGCCAACAACAUCUUAACUAACAACAAAAAAUCUAGAAUAAAAUCAUUUUUUUUAUAUCUGUUGCACUGACUACCAACAUGAAUUGUGGAUUCAUUAUUAUGCAUGGGGUACCAAUUUUUGUGGAUUAUGUUGGUAUAGGUUAACAACAAAUUAAAUCUGCAAUAAAGUACAAAUUUUCUAUCGGCUUAUAUGCAGACUUUGGCCAAACCAAGAAAUCAAAUGUUCCCUUAUAAUUUAACAUAUUAUUAAUCCACAAAAAAAGAAUCUACACUAUAUCGUUGUACAUGUUCAACUCCUUUGUCAAAUAAUGCAAAUACUUCAUGAUGGUUUUUGAACGUAAGUUUUUCUUUAUUAUAGUAUUGUAUUUAAGAAAUUUUUGGAUGCACUCAACAUGAGUGUUGAACAUUCAAAUAGGAACGAAAAUGCAAGAUUAACUAUUACAAUUUCUAUAAAAUCUGCAUGCAAAAUAAUUUUACAUAACUUAACCCUUCACAUAAUUUAUAUUAACAUUGUAUAGUUAUCAUAACACCGUAAUUGCAAAAGAAUUUCUAUAUCAUGUACAUGGGGCACCCCAACUGCCUUCUUUAUUGUGAGUAAAAACAAAAGGACAAAAAUAUCUUUAAGCUGCUCAUUGUUUAUUUUUAUCUGGAAGUUGUCAGUAAUUUCAAUUUCUAUUUAAGGUAGCUAUGUAAAGGGAGAUAAUUUCACCACCAUAUCAAGAAGAUUUUACUAUGUGUCUAUAGGUCAGUGAAACAGUAUAAAAAUGAUUUUAAGUCUAAAAAAAAUACUUAACGCACUCAUAAAUAAUUAAUAAUUUACAAUAGAAUUUAUGUACAGCAAAUUUC